AAAUAGCCCCGAUAGAACGGAAAGCCCGAAGUGGGGAGGCUGGUGUAGCGGGCGGACUUUGAGUGAUAGCGGGACAGGCA
rnacentral:misc_RNA from 1 species